UACGGAGGGUGCAAGCGUUAUCCGGAUUCACUGGGUUUAAAGGGUGCGUAGGUGGGCAGGUAAGUCAGUGGUGAAAUCUCUGAGCUUAACUCAGAAACUGCCGUUGAUACUAUCUGUCUUGAAUAUAGUGGAGGUGAGCGGAAUAUGUCAUGUAGCGGUGAAAUGCUUAGAUAUGACAUAGAACACCAAUUGCGAAGGCAGCUCACUACACGAAUAUUGACACUGAGGCACGAAAGCGUGGGGAUCAAACAGG
rnacentral:rRNA from 1 species